GCCUGGAUAGCUCAGUUGGUUAGAGUGUGGCGCUGGUAACGCCAAGGUUGCAGGUUCGAGCCCUGUAUAAGACA